rnacentral:rRNA from 1 species
ACAAACCGGAGGAAGGUGGGGAUGACGUCAAGUCCUCAUGGCCCUUAUAGGUGGGCUACACACGUCAUACAAUGGCCGGUACAAAGGGCAGCCAACCGCGAGGGGGAGCCAAUCCCAUAAAGCCGGUCGUAGUCCGGAUCGCAGUCUGCAACUCGACUGCGUGAAGUCGGAAUCGCUAGUAAUCGUGGAUCAGUAUGUCACGGUGAAUACGUUCCCGGGUCCUU